UAAUGCAGUCUGGUAGUGGCUAGGUGAAGUGUGUAUGAUCUGCUAUACAGAAACGUGUCGUUUGCAUAGCACAUAGCAGCCUAACUUCACUAGGCGGUGUUCGGGGCGUGGCAAAUCUCUAGAAGGCUAUAUAUGUUAAAUAGAACAGGGCCUAGAAUACUGCCCUGUGGUACGCCUGCUCUUAUUUGUUUGAUGUCAGACAUAGUUCUUUAAGUUGAUACUGAAAACGUUCUGUCUUCUAGGUAGGACGCGACUAGCUUGGUAUAGCAGACCAGGAAAUUAGUUUGAUAUAGUUUGUAUAGAUUAGCCCCGCGUGAUAAACUCUGUCGAAGGCUUUUUCUACGUCUAAAAACGUCGCAACUACAUAAUCUUUUACGUUGAAGGCGCUUGUUAUCUCUUCAGUGAGGCGUAUGAGUUGGUGCACUGUCAAGUGAUUACUGCGAAAAAUCGAAUGGCCUAAGUGUACAGGCCUGCCCGAUCCGCGGACGAAUAUUUUCACGUUCUGCGCGCAUACUUUUCGUUGGUGAUACUGCCGACGAGCGCGGGUUUGAAUGGUAGUUUGAUGAUAUGAAUUGACAAACUGCUAGACUGUGUGUAAUAUAGUUACCCAAAUAACACUAAAACAACAAAAAUGAAUUAAAUAAUAAAUAACCAUCUCUUUUAAAACUAUAACGUGUCAGAACUGAGUGUUAUUGUGCAAACAAAGACUAAUUUUAGCAAAGAUUAUUGCACGAAGUAAGGAAGGUAGGGUUAUAUGAAUAGUCAAAAUAAGUUUUUAUAGCAACUGAUCUUGAGAAAAUGAUUUUUUUGUUUGUGUAGGCCUCAACUUUGACAGCUGAGUAAAGUUUAUUUAAACAAAGGCACAGCAUUUCAAUAAGUGUUUUAUUUUUUAAUGAAUUUCUGAAUUAUAACCUUGUCACAAAUUUUUAUGUAGGAUACAUACAGAUGCAAGUUUAUUAUAAACUGAACUAUUAGUAUUAAUGUUUAUACGUUUCAUUUAGAAAAUAAAUUUAGCUCAUAUUGUUACAUGAAUUAAUAUAUCUGAUACGCUUACUUGCGUUAUUAAAAUAACUUGCAUUAACUUCGGAACAAUUGUAACGUGUCCCAAAUUUUCGGUUGUAAACGCAAACCAAAUAUUUUCAUUUAAUUAUAUUAUUAAUUGAUGUCAUGUUAUGUUGAUAGAACUAACAAAAAACGGCGAAAUAUAAAUUCAAAUUUUUGAUAUUCGUGCUUUAUUGUUUGGCUAUUUAUUUUGGCAAUUUUUCAUAGUUUAAGCACUUAUGAAAAUAUUUACAUAAAAUUCUUAUAAAUGUUUUUUGAGAUUCUUUAAUUAUGUGUGAUGAUUCUGCUAAUAGUUGUUGAGAUAAUUGAGGUAGAUUACCGGUAUUUUACCAUUGGUUUUGUAUUUUGUAUUACGUUAGCUACUUUUAAAAUACUUUUAAGUCAUUUGGAUGGUUGGUUAAGUUUUGUUAGCUUAAUUUAAAACAUUGUUUAAUCGUGUGAAUGGCUGGAGGGAUAAGGUAAUUUAAUUUCGAACACUGUUCAAUUAUUUGAAUGAUUGGUUGUAUACAAUAUUCAUUUAAAAUACUGUAUAUUGGUGUAAAUGUUUGGGUAAGUUACGUUAGCCACAUUAAAAAUACUUAACGGCGUUCUUCGGGAUAGGUGUUAUUCAAAAAACCAUUAAAUGUUCUUAAUGGAGAACCUUCUCUAGAAAAUUAGCAUUACUUGAAAUAGGGAUAACAAUCUGCAGGUAGAGAAGUAAAGAUUGUGUUAGGUAAGUUCCGGGAAGAGGAGUGGCAGAUUUUGCAUUUAAAACUGCAGAAUAAAAAGUACGAAUUUUUGAAAAAUUUAAAUAUUUAAGCUUUGUGAAACGAUUAAUAACCAUGCAACAUUUUUAAAUAAUCAAUAUUAAUAUUACAAGAGUGACAUAUUUUUAAUUAUAUAAUCUUGAUUUUUGAAAUAAAUGCUUUUUUUUUUCGGAUGAGGUUGUACUAACCAGCGAAAUGAUUUUUUUUCCGUAUCUAAACUACCGCGUUAUUAUUUUCCUGCCUAGUAUUUUGUUAGUACAAUAUAUAGUACACAAUAUAUAGUGCACAAAAUAAUUUAUUACGGUUGUGGCAAACAACAGUUAACUGGUGUCACUGCUACAAAAGUUUAACAUUAUUUAGCCAAACUUGUGUUGUGAAUGUAUUACACUGAAAUAAAUAAUAAAAUCACUUCAGGCUAUAUAAAAAAAGAUUGUCAAAAUUAAAUGAUAUCGUAGCUUUCGUCCAUUCGAAACCUAAAUUGGGCGGAGACAAAACAAAAUACAGAAAAAAACUUAUUUUGUAAUAAAUGAGGCAAUAAAAUUAGUUAUAGGUAUCUAAUUUCUUAAUUUAUUUACUUGAAUGGAAAUAAAUUUGCCAUUAGAAUCAUCAUUUGUUGAUAACCGCCGUUCUAACAAAAUGUAAAACUCAGAUUAACGUAUAUUUCCGUAUACAUAGCCUACUUUAGCAAAAUAUCUCCAGAGUGACGUCACAAAUUGCUAGCCAGUGAAAGAGAAAGGUGCGCAAAAGGAUACAUAUAUAACUUCACGAUGAUUCACCCGUUAUGUUCACAGUUGACAGAACAGAAGAACGAAUGAAUAUCAAGCAAUGAUUUGUGUAACAUUUUCUUAAGUGUUAUGAGUACGUAAUAAAUAUUCUCGCAGAAACUGUAUGGUGUUAUUAGACGCAGCGUCGCACUGCGUGGCUGCGACUGGUUGAUAAUCGCUGGCUCCUCUGUGACAUUGUGGGCAUUGGUGAAUCAAGCUUGUCGUGAAUGUCAGUGCGCUUGCAAACUGACUCCCCUGCUGCAGCUCAUACACCGGUCGUCACUGGAUUCUGAUGUACUUUGUAAUAAUUAAGAUAGUUUCUGAACCAGAACAGUUGAUAAGCUACGGUCCUGAAUCAAAAAAGGUAAAUUUAAAAUGUGUCGUAACUUUAUCUUUGAGCCUCAUUUAGAAAAUGUUAACAUACUCACCUUUCAUUGUUAGGUACAUAUUUUUUUACACAAUCCCGCAUAACCCUGCAAGUUAUAAAAAUUCUUCCAAUGUAUGAAUUUCCCAAUUACAUACAUAUUGAUAAUGCCGAAUGUGGACUUUAUAUAUAUAUACACAUGCAUACUUACACAUAUAUGUAUAAAAAUUGAAAGAAAAUGUUUGCUUCAAUGUCUCCCCUAUAAAUAAUAAAUGAAUUACCUAUAUGAUUAAAUAUCCGUGUUCUUAGUGGAUAUAACUAGGAAAAUCUGCAUAAUUUGUAUGUAUUUUGGUAGUUAUUAAAAAAGUACAAUUAAACUUACAAUAUUAUGAAUUGUCAUACCUCUAAUGUUAAAUUUUACUCUUGUACAGAUAGCACACUGUAUCUAAGUAACAUAAUUAAGAUGUCACAGAUAUAAUAAUUAAUACUUACUAAUUUUAUUCGACAAUGUGUUUCCGAUUCAUUUGACUUCUUGCAAAUGGGUUAUAAAUUAAGUAUAACUCCAGAGACGUACCAAAUUAGGUUACCUUGAGAAACUCAUGACGUCAGCGUGUAUGGUUUAUGUGUUAGGGAAAAUUUAUUCAAAUACUGUGUAUUAAAAAAGUGCAUGACAUGGUA